rnacentral:rRNA from 1 species
UACGUAGGGUCCAAGCGUUAUCCGGAAUCACUGGGCGUAAAGCGUGCGUAGGUGGAUGUUUAAGUGUGAUGUUAAAUCGUGUGGCUCAACCAUAUCGAUGUGUCGCAUACUGGGCAUCUAGAGGACAGCAGAGGCAAGUGGAAUUACGAGUGUAGCGGUAAAAUGCGUAGAUAUUCGUAGGAACACAAAUGGCGAAGGCAGCUUGCUGGGCUACUCCUGACACUGAGGUACGAAAGCGUGGGGAGCGAACAGG